UCCCGUUUAACACGGGCAGUCUCCUUAGAAACAUGUAACUAAGGACGAGGGUUGCGCUCGUUCACGGACCUAACCGAACACCUCAAGGCACGAGCUGACGACGACCAUGCAGCGCUUGUCUUCUGGUUCCUUGCGGCACUCCCGAAUUUCUUCAGGAUUCCAGAGAUGUCAAGCCUGGGUAAGGUUCCCCGUUUGCCAUCGAAUUAAACAACAUGCUCCACCGCUUGUGUGGGUCCCCGUCUAUUCCUUUAUGUUUUAGCCUUGCGGCCGUACUUCACAGGCGGAAUACUUAACGCGUUAGCUGCGGCACUAGUGGGAUCGAACCACUAACACCUAGUAUUCAUAGUUUACGGCGUGGACUAC
rnacentral:misc_RNA from 1 species